rnacentral:rRNA from 1 species
ACGGGGGGGGCAAGCGUUGUUCGGAAUUACUGGGCGUAAAGGGUCUGUAGGUGGCUUGCUAAGUCAGACGUGAAAUCCCUCAGCUUAACUGGGGAACUGCGUCUGAGACUGGCGAGCUUGAGUGCAGGAGAGGAACGCGGAAUUCCAGGUGUAGCGGUGAAAUGCGUAGAUAUCUGGAGGAACACCGGUGGCGAAGGCGGCGUUCUGGACUGUAACUGACACUGAGGCGCGACAGCGUGGGGAGCAAACAGGA